rnacentral:rRNA from 1 species
AACGAACGCUGGCGGCAGGCUUAACACAUGCAAGUCGAACGCCCCGCAAGGGGAGUGGCAGACGGGUGAGUAACGCGUGGGAACAUACCCUUUCCUGCGGAAUAGCUCCGGGAAACUGGAAUUAAUACCGCAUACGCCCUACGGGGGAAAGAUUUAUCGGGGAAGGAUUGGCCCGCGUUGGAUUAGCUAGUUGGUGGGGUAAAGGCCUACCAAGGCGACGAUCCAUAGCUGGUCUGAGAGGAUGAUCAGCCACAUUGGGACUGAGACACGGCCCAAACUCCUACGGGAGGCAGCAGUGGGGAAUAUUGGACAAUGGGCGCAANCCUGAUCCAGCCAUGCCGCGUGAGUGAUGAAGGCCUUAGGGUUGUAAAGCUCUUUCACCGAUGAAGAUAAUGNCNNUAGUCGGAGAAGAAGCCCCGGCUAACUUCGUGC